rnacentral:rRNA from 1 species
ACGGGGGCAACCCUGGUGGCGAGUGGCGAACGGGUGAGUAAUACAUCGGAACGUGCCCAGUCGUGGGGGAUAACGCAGCGAAAGCUGUGCUAAUACCGCAUACGAUCUACGGAUGAAAGCGGGGGACUCGCAAGGGCCUCGCGCGAUUGGAGCGGCCGAUGGCAGAUUAGGUAGUUGGUGGGGUAAAGGCUCACCAAGCCUGCGAUCUGUAGCUGGUCUGAGAGGACGACCAGCCACACUGGGACUGAGACACGGCCCAGACUCCUACGGGAGGCAGCAGUGGGGAAUUUUGGACAAUGGGCGCAAGCCUGAUCCAGCCAUUCCGCGUGCAGGAUGAAGGCCUUCGGGUUGUAAACUGCUUUUGUACGGAACGAAAAGGCUCUGGUGAAUACCCGGGGCUCAUGACGGUACCGUAAGAAUAAGCACCGGCUAACUACGUGCCAGCAGCCGCGGUAUACUAUGGUGCGAGCGUUAAUCGGAAUUACUGGGCGUAAAGCGUGCGCACGCGGUGAUGCAAGACAGAUGUGAAAUCCCCGGGCUCAA